UACGGAGGGUGCAAGCGUUAUCCGGAUUCACUGGGUUUAAAGGGUGCGUAGGCGGGCAUUUAAGUCAGUGGUGAAAUCUCGGGGCUCAACCCCGAAACUGCCAUUGAUACUAUCUGUCUUGGAUAUUGUGGAGGUCUGCGGAAUAUGUCAUGUAGCGGUGAAAUGCUUAGAUAUGACAUAGAACACCUAUUGCGAAGGCAGCAGGCUACGCAUAUAUCGACGCUGAGGCACGAAAGCGUGGGGAUCAAACAGGAUUAGAUACCCUGGUAGUCCACGCCCUAAACGAUGGAUACUCGACAUUGGCGAUACACAGCCAGUGUCUGAGCGAAAGCAUUAAGUAUCCCACCUGGGAAGUACGACCGCAAGGUUGAA
rnacentral:rRNA from 1 species